GGUCUAUUUCUAUAAAUUCAAAGUUGAUGGAAUUAUGUGUAAAGUGAAUUGUAUUGAUAUCUCUUGUGUUGUUUAAUGUUUAUUCAUGAUUAAUUGUUGAUAAUGGGUGAAUUAAGGGUGGUAAGCCUUAUGAGUGAAGUAUUGGUGAUUGCUUGGAUUUUUGGUGAUUUUGGCUAUGGCUUUGAAUUAUGGUAAGAAAGCUUGAACUCUCUUUAUUGAAUUAAUUGUUGUUGGUAGGUUGAAUCUACCUUUGGUGGAAGUGUUAUAUCUUGUUCUUGUGUGGUAUUAUUGUGAAUUGUAGCCAUGAAGGCAUUGGGGAAGUUGU
rnacentral:lncRNA from 1 species